rnacentral:rRNA from 1 species
CCUACGGGAGGCAGCAGUGAGGAAUAUUGGUCAAUGGGCGAGAGCCUGAACCAGCCAAGUCGCGUGAAGGAUGACGGCCCUACGGGUUGUAAACUUCUUUUGUCAGGGAGCAAUUGGGUCCACGCGUGGGCGUAGCGAGAGUACCUGAAGAAAAAGAAUCGGCUAACGCCGUGGCAGCAGCCGCGGUAAUACGGUGGAUGCGAGCGUUAUCCGGAGUUAUUGGGUUGACAGGGUGCGUAGGCGGAAUAUCAAGUCAGCGGUAAAAAUUCGGGGCUCAACCCCGUCGUGCGGUUGAAACUGAUGUUCUUGAGUGGGCGAGAAGUAUGCGGAAUGCGUGGUGUAGCGGUGACAUGCAUAGAUAUCACGCAGAACUCCGAUUGCGAAGGCAGCAUACCGGCGCCCAACUGACGCUGAGGAGCGAAAGCGUGGGUAGCAAACAGGAUUAGAUACCCUGUAGUC